CUCAGUUGGCCCUGGUCCUGGAGGUGGGGUUUUGCUCUCUCUGGGGAAGUUUAUUCAUUCCAGAUAUAUCACUUUCCUGUUCUUGCUCUGUAUGUUUCUGUGCUACUGAGGUUAGAGCCCAGGAUCUCUCCCAUGCCAGACAGGUACCACCCGGGCCACAUCCCCAGCCCUCCAUGUGUAUUUCACCAACAUCUGCCAUGCGCUUGGCAUGAGGGCCUGCGCUCAAGGGGGUGAGGGAGAGGCAGGCAAUUCAUCAGGCACUUCUUCUCCUCCAAGAUUGACUGGAGGUGGAGGAAGUUUGGGGCACAGUACAAACCCCCAGGAGAGGCACCUGCCCUAGGGAUGCGGGCAGCAAUGUCACUCAGGAGAGAAGGAUGUCUGUCUGGCACCCUAAAGAUGGAACAGUCAGUCCCAGGAGCUGUUAGGAAAUCCCCUGGUUCCUGGGCCCUGGGUGACGUGAACCUGGCCCGGAGGAGGAGGACACCGAGCUCCCUCCUGGUGAGGUUGGGGCCUGCUGGCCUUGACAGUGAGGUGGGGAGGGAAGGGCCUCUGCUAGUGAGGUGAGGGACACUGGAGUUGGGAGAGCACAGUGACCAAAUCCUGAGAGAAGGAUGCAUCUGUGACCAGGGGUCUUCUGGACAGGCAUCAGUCGUCCUUGCAUACCCGCUGUGCCAGCAGCCACUGAGUACCAGCAUUGUGCAUAACUACUGUGCCAGAUUCUUCAUUGAAUUCUCUCGAUGGUCCCGUUCUGCAGGAGAGGAAGGAAGAUUCAGGAGGAGAGCCUGGACUACGCCAGGCUCUGCCAUCAUCACAAGGGAGGAAGAGAUUCAUUCUCGCUAGAACUGAAUAGAUACCUGGAAAAUCAUGCCACACACUUCACGGUGGACCAGAACACCCCCUACCCUUUGAUUAAAUCACUGGGACGUUGAAAUGGUUCUGCAGAGCUGAGAGUGUUGCCUUAAAACAAACAAGCAAACAAAUGAAUAAACAAACAGAAACGAGUCUUGGUUUUCCACAUGAAGGGCUUUUCUUUCCAGAUAGGGUAAAUUGCAAUGGCCCCUGGGCCCUUGUCUGGAUUCCGCCUCUGUGAGCAGCCGCACCUGGGCCUUGUGAGCGAUUGGUGUCUUAUUUGCAUUAUUUAAUUAAUUCCUCUUAUUUUCCUUCAUGGUAGCAGGGGCUCUGAUCUCUUCCUCUGCUCCAAGCUCCCCUUGGCACCAGCUCCUCAGCAGGCUGUGGCUGUCAAGGCCGAAGGGUGCGACUGUCAAGACGGGGCAGGUGCUGUGCAGUGGAGCCCCUGGGAAAUGGCCUAGGUGACAAGUGAGGCAGAAGGGCGGCACCUGGUGGCAGGGCACUGUCCACACGUCUGUCCAGGCCACCCCAUCCAGGACUGUCCGACUGUCUGAAUCAGCUCCUCCUGCAGGAGGUGAAUUUUCCACUGUUUGAUGUUCCAACAUAGUCCUCUGGACCCACUGUGUGUCAAGCAAAAACACAGAGACCCUUC
rnacentral:lncRNA from 1 species